CGGAGGGAUCAUUAAAGAGUUCUAUAACUCCCAAACCCAUGUGAACAUACCUAACGUUGCCUCGGCAGGUCGCACCUACCUUGUAGCACCCUACCCUGUAGGGCCUACCCGGGAGGUGCGGGUAAGCCUGCCGGCGGCCCACCAAACUCUGUUUGAUAUUGAAUUCUGAACCUAUAACUAAAUAAGUUAAAACUUUCAACAACGGAUCUCUUGGUUCUGGCAUCGAUGAAGAACGCAGCGAAAUGCGAUAAGUAAUGUGAAUUGCAGAAUUCAGUGAAUCAUCGAAUCUUUGAACGCAUAUUGCGCCCAUUAGUAUUCUAGUGGGCAGGACCGUUCGAGCGUCAUUUCAACCCUUAAGCCUUCGUUGCUUAGUGUUGGGAGCCUACGGCAACGUAGCUCCUCAAAGUUAGUGGCGGAGUUGGUUCACACUCUAGACGUAGUAAUUUUUUAUCUCGCCUAUUAGUUGGACUAAUCCCCUGCCGUAAAACCCCCAAUUUAUAUCAAGGUUGACCUCGAAUCGGUUCAGACAAACUCGCUAAAUUGAAGCAUCUUAGUCAGCGAAGGAAAAGAAACCAACAGGGAUUGCCCUAGUAACGGCGAGUGAAGCGGCAACAGCUCAAAUUUGAAAUCUGGCCCUC
rnacentral:rRNA from 1 species